CAGCUCAGGAACCUCCCAUAAGGAAUCUACCACAGUCACCAUCUCAGAUACAAGAAGCAGAGAGGGAUACAGCAGCCACUGGCCCCAGUCCUACAUAGAACAACUCCAGCAAAACUUACAUGAACAGGAGAGGCAACUCAAGGAAAAGGUUGAC